rnacentral:rRNA from 1 species
CAGCAGCCGCGGGAAUACGAAGGGGGCUAGCGUUGUUCGGAUUAACUGGGCGUAAAGGGCGCGUAGGCGGGUUUUUAAGUCAGAGGUGAAAUCCCAAGGCUCAACCUUGGAACUGCCUUUGAUACUGGAAGUCUUGAGUCCGGGAGAGGUGAGUGGAACUGCGAGUGUAGAGGUGAAAUUCGUAGAUAUUCGCAAGAACACCAGUGGCGAAGGCGGCUCACUGGCCCGGUACUGACGCUGAGGCGCGAAAGCGUGGGGAGCAAACAGGAUUAGAUACCCCAGUAGUCCCUGUCUUUUAUAC